CUCCGCCCCGCCGCCGCCCCUCAGAAAAUAAUAAACAAUCGAGUAAAAUGCGGCGCGGGGCGGGGGUCCGGGCGGGCCCCUCGCUCCGGGCCCUGCCUGCAGCCCUGCCGCCAGAAAAGCCUUUCCUCUAGGUGCUGCGGCGCUCGCACGGAAAUUGCCUCAGCCAGAAGGAACUGGGUAACUGCUGACUCAGGAGCUGCAUCAAGUCGGAGGAAUGGGAAGGGGCUCGUGUUUCCCGAGUGCCUGUGGAGCCGCAGAGCGAUGGGACAGCGCCGGGCACCUCCUGCCUGCCGUCCUGUCCUGGAAAAGCGAUCCCAGCAGCGUGUUCUAAGAAGCCAGAGCCUGCUGCAGUGGCAGUGGGGACUGCUCUACUUGCAGGAAUGUUGGGACUAAUCAUGUGAGAAAAGAUCCUGGAGUGAUGAGGCAGCAUAUUUCCCAUGUCUGAGGUCAGGAUUUGUUCUGUGAAGCUGACCUUUAAAACAGCCUGAAAAUGAGGAACGUGGCACCAGAGAGCAGAGCAGGAAGCAUGAAAUUAUGUAAGAUAUGUUUCUUCUGCAUAUGAAAUACUUUUUUUUUAAAGCUCCAGGUUUGUGAUUCAGCAUUUUCUGCCACUGAGAGAUACAAGAAAGGGGAAAAUUCUGUAGCAAAGAAAGAAAGUCCCUAUUGUUCUAAUCAAAACCUAAUAAAAUAUUAGCCACCGGGUACUUUUGUUCCCUU
rnacentral:lncRNA from 1 species